CAAGUGAUCCUCCCACCUUAUUCUCCAGAGUAGCUAGGAUCACAGGCGUGUUCCAACCACAUCCGGCUAAUUUUUGUAUUUUUUGCAAAGAUGGGAUUUCACCAUGUUGGCCAGGCUGGUCUAAAACUCCUGACCUCAGGUCAUCCACCCACCUCAGCCUCCCAAAGUGCUGGGUUUAGAGGCAUGAACCCCCACACCUAGCUGCUUGUUUCUUACAUGUGAGGGAAGAGGCACUAGAUGUUGACAAAAUGCCUGGAGAGGUGGGGGGUGGCAGCCAGGCAGAAGAGGAACACUUGGGGGAAGUAUUAAGAACAGAGCUUAUUUGCCACACAGCCGUCAUUCUUGCUCCUGCCCUUUAGCUGUUUAUGAAAAUGCAAGCACCUCCUUAGAGAAUAUGCACAGUUCCUGGCUUCCUCUUAUGAGGGUUUGUUGUUUCUUAAUUCCAAAGUAUGACAUGGAUUGGGAUUUUUGUUUUUAACCUCCUUUGUUAAAA